rnacentral:rRNA from 1 species
GAUGAACGCUAGCUACAGGCUUAACACAUGCAAGUCGAGGGCAGCGCAGUGUAGCAAUACAUGGGCGGCGACCGGCGCACGGGUGCGUAACGCGUAUCCAACCUUCCCGUUACUCUUGGAUAGCCUUCCGAAAGGGAGAUUAAUACAAGAUGGUACUCAAAAUUCCGCAUGUUAUUUGAAUUAAAGAUUUAUCGGUAACGGAUGGGGAUGCGUGACAUUAGAUAGUAGGCGGGGUAACGGCCCACCUAGUCUACGAUGUCUAGGGGUUCUGAGAGGAAGGUCCCCCACACUGGAACUGAGACACGGUCCAGACUCCUACGGGAGGCAGCAGUGAGGAAUAUUGGUCAAUGGUCGGAAGACUGAACCAGCCAAGUAGCGUGAAGGAUGAAGGUUCUAUGGAUUGUAAACUUCUUUAUACGGGAAUAAAACCUCCCACGUGUGGGAGCUUGUAUGUACCGUAUGAAUAAGCAUCGGCUAACUCCGUG